rnacentral:rRNA from 1 species
AUGAAAGUUGAUACCGCGGAACAUGUGACCGCCCUAGAUAAUGCCAUUGGGAAAACCAGAUUGUUCUAUAUAGGAAUGAAGGUUGAUUUGGUAUCCAGAUUCCCCAUUAGUUACGCCAUAAAGAAAAGCUUCCCAGUUGACAAUGCACAGAUACUGCCCUCUACAAAGGUUAGACAAUUUUCAUCAAUUUACAAAAUAACUCCAUCCUAA